AGCAGUAGCCGCGGGAAAACGUAGGUGGCAAGCGUUGUCCGGAAUUAUUGGGCGUAAAGGGCUCGCAGGCGGUUUCUUAAGUCUGAUGUGAAAGCCCCCGGCUCAACCGGGGAGGGUCAUUGGAAACUGGGAAACUUGAGUGCAGAAGAGGAGAGUGGAAUUCCACGUGUAGCGGUGAAAUGCGUAGAGAUGUGGAGGAACACCAGUGGCGAAGGCGACUCUCUGGUCUGUAACUGACGCUGAGGAGCGAAAGCGUGGGGAGCGAACAGGAUUAGAGACCCCCGUAGUCCCUGUCUCUUAUAC
rnacentral:rRNA from 1 species